rnacentral:tRNA from 1 species
GGGGGUAUAGCUCAGUGGUAGAGUGUUUGACUACAGAUCAAAUCGUCCUUUGUCUACAUCCAAGUACCCCAU